rnacentral:rRNA from 1 species
GUUGUAUGGUUAAGUGACUAAGCGUACACGGUGGAUGCCUUGGCAGUCAGAGGCGAUGAAAGGCGUAAUAACUUGCGAUAAGCCCAGAUUAGGUAGUAAUAACCUUUUGAGUCUGGGAUUCCUGAAUGGGGAAACCCACUURCAUAAGYAAGUAUCCUGUUGUGAAUACAUAGCAACAGGAGGCAAACCGGGGGAACUGAAACAUCUAAGUACCCCGAGGAAGAGAAAUCAACCGAGAUUCCGAAAGUAGCGGCGAGCGAAAUUGGAUUAGCCCUUAAGCUUUUAAUGAUGCAGGUGAAGAGUCUGGAAAGUCUCGCAACAAAGGGUGAUAGCCCCGUAACCGACACAUCAUAAUCAGUGAAAACGAGUAGGGCGGGACACGUGAUAUCCUGUCUGAAUAUGGGGGGACCAUCCUCCAAGGCUAAAUACUACUGACUGACCGAUAGUGAACCAGUACCGUGAGGGAAAGGCGAAAAGAACCCCUGUGAGGGGAGUGAAAUAGAACCUGAAACCGUGUACGUACAAGCAGUAGGAGCACCUUCRUGGUGUGACUGCGUACCUUUUGUAUAAUGGGUCAGCGACUUAAUUUUAGUAGCAAGGUUAACCGUUUAGGGGAGCCGUAGGGAAACCGAGUCUUAACUGGGCG